UAAAUAUUUAUAUUUUAUGAUAAAAUUAAACUUGAAAAUAAUUUUCAAAAGUAAGUGGGAAUAAAUAUAUUUAAUUGUUUCAAAUAGAUAUGGAGAGAAUUCUACAAUUCUUAAUAAAAGGUAAAAGAAUAGACUGCUAAUCUGACAUUCCUGGUUUACAAUGUUAUUAAACAGAGUUCGCAUGAUGACGUAAUUGUUAGCCAAUGCUGAUAUAUAGUCGGAAUAUAUUAUUCGUCGUGUGAUUGGAGAUUUUCACCACAAAUAUAUUUUGAAAAGUGUCCUUUAAUAUUUUCAUAAAACGAAUGUGGUUUGGUAAGAGCGAAGUAAAUUGAACGUAAUUUUCUUAGAAUCAGUAGCCAAUAAGUUAAACAUAAUCAAAUCUAAAAAUUUUAGAAAAAUUAAUCAAUAAUCUGCAAAAAAAUAUACGAUUAUUUGAAUCAAGAUUCACAAACAUUUUAAAAAAUGAAAUAAUUUAGAUAUAUAAUACCUCAAACUGAAAGAAUAAAACUGGAAUUAUAAUGAAUUCGAACAGUUAGUUGAAAAUAUCAGAUUUGUAUUUUUCAUACUGUGAUUGAUUCAUAUGAAUAAUAGACUGAUAAAGAUGAAAAAGAGAAAUACCAAAACAAAUGGCUGGAAACGAAACAAUCAUCCGUCGUGUUUGUUAAUUCUUCAAUCACAUUCUAUAUAAUGAACUUUUUUCAUUGGAUUUGGUUUUAUACAUAUUUACAACUUGAUUUCAUCAUAAAUGCGGAGGCGCUUGGAACUAUUUUAUAAUGGUUGACAAAAAUUGUGAGCGAAUGGAUUGCAGUGACAUCUAUACAAUGAUUCAGUCAAAAUCGCGACUGUGGUGAUCGCUACCUGAUACUAUUGUUUUCACAAAUAAAAGCAUUAUAUCAAUGGUUCUUCGUAUGAGAUGUCAUCUUAACAGAACUAAAACUUCAUUGGAGACUUAAACGAUUGUUUAUAUCGAGAAAAAAGAUAGUACAUAUUAUCAUUAUAAUAAUAAAACGGAUCAUUAUAAGAUAAACAGAACAUCUUCUAAGACAGCAUAGUUUAGUGUAUAUUCAACAUGAUCUAUCAAGAAUCCUGGAAGCAGAUAAUUUGAAAAAAAAGGAGAAUAUUCUUCUGGAAACUGAAAAAUUCAGCAUUAAAGCACGGCAAUCUUUACCGUAUAUUUGGAAAGUGCAUGUUAACAUUAUUAAUUCAAUUGCGUCUUUUCCAAAGUUUAUUCAACAACGAAUAUUCUUAUAUUUGAGGUAUUUAUAUUUGAGAAACGUGUCAAGGAUUUGCUUAGAAGAUUCAAAAAGAUGCAAUUGAAAAUAUAUGGAUUAAAUUUAGGCCUGAAUAACCAAAUGCACAAUUUGAAAAAGAGAAAUCUUUCGAAAAUACAUAUUUCAAUUGCAGAUCAUCGACGGAAGAAUAUAUAUGUUAAAAGUCUGGAACUAAAGAAGAAAAUGUGAUUAAUUCUUUUUAGCUUAAGCUUAUUUUAAAUGCGUAGAAAUCAUCAAGUUAUUAUUUCGAGAAAGAUUCGCUAAGCGACAUAUGAGAAUUCUCGAUUCAUCAUAUAUGCGGUAAAUUUUUUUUGGAUUAUUUCAAAUUAAAAUCGAAUCUUUCUUGAGUUUCGACGAAUCACUAUCACUUUGGAUUUCAACUUCCUCGAGAAAUAAAUUAUGGAUUCUAGCCUACUAUAAAGAUGAAUAUAAUCAAAGUACAAUAUUAAAUAUAUAAGAUUUCUGGUAUGCGCCAUUGCACCGGUCAUUUCAGGUCGGAUAUGAUUUCAUUGUAUGCCUACAAGAUCAUCAUUAUCUCAAGCCAUAGUAAUCUGAAAAAUUCGUAAAAAAAGAUCUUUAAAUUCUGAUCGUUUAAAUUAUUCAAACCACAUUGCAUGUAACAUUGUACAAUGUCACUAAACAAAAUAACCAUUUAUUUGUUCACUGUAUCACCACAUAUAGUCAUAUUGAGAUUGGUUUUUAUCAUAUAGAUAGUCUGUCCUGAAUAUUAGAUUACGUAUAGUUAAAUAAAUCUGAUUUGAAUUAUUUAUAAAAAAAAAUAGAAAAAAAGUCAAGAUAACAAUAACAUAAUUGACAAAUUUUUGUGAAAAAUAAAUAGUACAUAAUUUAAAUUCAUAUUAUAAAUGCUAAGCAUGCAAUAAAUAAUCCAAUGAAAAAAAUAAAUACGUUUUGCAAUAUUGCGCAAAAUUAGCGAUCAUGGCAUUCUCCAAAACACGAAAAGUUUUCAGUUAAAUAUCUUUAUUUACUUCAAUUAUUUAUGAUUGAUAUGAUACAAAGAAUUGUACGUGUAAAAUUGUUCAUACAAAAAAUACAAUAAGAUCAUACUCAUAAAAAUCAGAAUAUAUAUAUAUUUAUUCUUUUAUAUAUAAUUCUGUUACAAAGUAUCUGAGAGUAAUAUGGCACAUAACCACAUCAAUUUCUUUUUAUUUAUUUAUUUUUAUUGUGAAUAUAUGUACUUUUCUUUCAAUAUUCUUUCUACAUAUCGAAUUAUACUGUAUAAUUAUCAACAUGUACUCCUUAAAUUCAUUGACAAAAUUCAAGUAAAAAUUAAUAGGAACAGUAAAAUUAGUGAUUAGAAUGUAAGUUCUUAAUGAUCGCUUGAUAAUUAAAAAUAGCAAAGAAAUCUUUAAUUAGAAUAAUGCAAUGAAAUAUUUUUUUUGAUUAGCCAUUCAUCGACGAAUUCAGAUUGCAAAUUAUUCUGAUCAGAAGCAUCUAAAAAUUUCUUGUCGGCAUCUCAUUUGUUUAUAAUAAAAUAUGAACCUGUUAAAUUAUUACACGUUAACAAAAUUUUGUGUUUUAUUUGAUAGAUAAAUCAUUAGAAAAAUUGUAUACUAGUGCAUGAAGUGCUUUCAGAGAAAAUUUAAUUAACUAAUUAUCGAAUAGACAAUUUAUGUGUUAAUCAUGUAACUUUGA